rnacentral:rRNA from 1 species
UACGUAGGGUGCGAGCGUUGUCCGGAAUUAUUGGGCGUAAAGAGCUCGUAGGCGCUUGUCGCGUCGGAUGUGAAAGCCCGGGGGCUCAACCCUGGAAUGCCGGUGGAUACUGUCGGGCUAGAGUCCGGAAGGGCGAGUGGAAUUCCUGGUGUAGCGGUGAAAUGCGCAGAUAUCAGGAGGAACACCCACUGGCGAAGGCAGCUCGCUGGGACGUGACUGACGCUGAGACGCGAAAGCGUGGGGAGCAAACAGG